AUGGCGGCACUGCGGUGUCGUUUCUCUCUUGGAAGAGUCGUUUUCUGGAGCAGUGCUGAAAGUCAGAGGCAGGAGGUGAAGCGGCUUCGUCUUGCACGAAGCUUCGGUGGAGAUGUCAAGUCAUGCCUGACCGACAGGUGGUACGCUUGGUCAUGCCUGGUCGGCAGGUGCUACGCACGACAGAUGCUCCAAGGGCUUCAAGCUGUGUCGGCUAGUGGUACGUGGAAGCAUGGCGCUGAGGUGUAUCAGUGGCGACCACGACGUGUACAGUUGUUUGCGCGCAGGGAGGAGGUGCCGUUGGGCGCCGUGGUGGCGUCGACGAUAGCUGGACCGAGCAAGGUUGAUGCAUCAGUACAGAUCUGA
rnacentral:rRNA from 1 species